rnacentral:rRNA from 1 species
UAUAAAUUUAUUAAUUUCGUUUAUUUUCUAUUAUAAUAAUGAUAAUAAGAAGAUUUAUUUGGUUGGGGCAACCGAAGUAUAAGUUUAAAUAACUGCUAUAAUUUAAUACAAUGAUUUUUGUUUUAAAAAAUAAUUGAUCCUCGAAGAGAUUAAAGACCAAGUUACUUUAGGGAUAACAGCGUAAUUUAUCCUGAGAGUUCUUAUCAAAGGAAAAGUUUGCGACCUCGAUGUUGAAUUAAAAUGUCUACCUAGUGCAGCAGCUAGGAAAGAAGGUCUGUUCGACCUUUAAUUUUUU